UUACCAGGGAAAGCACUUCCAUCUCUCAAUUAAGAAAUGAAAGCUGAAAUGCCUUCACUGGUUCUCGUAUGACUCACCAAAUAUUUGUGAAGAAAUCAGAGAUUAAUUUCUUAAUUCGGAUCCAUCAUACAAUGAAGUCAUAAAUAAUAGCAAAUUUGUAACAUCACAUUAAUCUCCAUGGCAACAGGCUUACUGUGCAAACAGAGGAUUAUGACUUCACAAGAGAAUCAAACAGAGAGUGGGUUGUAAGGAAGAAAGCUCAUUUUCAAACUCAUAUAAUCUACAGUAAUUGUACUGGGAAUACAGCACCGAAUACUUUUUCCUUCUCCUCCCUAGUUCACAAUAAGUGUUGACUACAUGAAAUUCUGUACACAGAGAAUAAACAUCCCAGAGUCAGGGAAUAUGGAACAUGCAAGCUUUACCAGCAGUCAAAUCUCAUCAGAAUAGCUCUUCUGCCCAAGAGGUCAGGGAAGGUGGAACCUGACAUUUGGCUGCCCAGCCUCCGAGAACUUGGUAAUACAGAGCAACGCAGGAUUAGACAACUACAUUUUUCUCCAACUUUCCCAACCAGCUACUUUGUACCUGGCAAGAAUUAGGAGUAGAGUAAUGGGCACUACCACCACCCACUCAACAUAGGCCUUCUGCAGCAUGCCCCUCUGGAAAGGAGACCUGCCAAUGUUUACCAGCUGCCAAGUCCACUGGGAAUAGUUCUCCCACGCAAGAAAGCUAGAAGAGCUGAGACCUGCCACUCCACUAUUUAGCCUGCUGGAACAGCUUUUCUGGAACACAUGGCUGUGAGGCAAUAGGUGCAGUCCCUAGCACAAAUGCCAUGCCCUCGUGUCACGCAAGAUUCUCUAGCCUCUGUUGAAUAAA